GAUGAGCCCGCGGCCCAUUAGCUUGUUGGCGGGGUAACGGCCCACCAAGGCGACGAUGGGUAGCUGGUCUGAGAGGACGAUCAGCCACACUGGGACUGAGACACGGCCCAGACUCCUACGGGAGGCAGCAGUAGGGAAUCUUGCGCAAUGGGCGAAAGCCUGACGCAGCAACGCCGCGUGCGGGAAGAAGGUCUUCGGGUUGUAAACCGCUUUCAGUGGGGACGAAGGCGACUGGGUUAAUAGCCCAGGAGUUGACGGUACCCACAGAAGAAGGUCCGGCUAACUACGUGCCAACAGCCGCGGUAAUACGAGGGGGGCAAGCGUUGUUCGGAAUUAUUGGGCGUAAAGGGUGCGUAGGCGGUUUGACAAGUCUGAUGUGAAAUCUAUGGGCUCAACCCAUAGUCUGCAUCGGAAACUGUCGGGCUUGAGUAUGGGAGAGGUGAGUGGAAUUUCCGGUGUAGCGGUGAAAUGCGUAGAUAUCGGAAGGAACACCUGUGGCGAAAGCGGCUCACUGGACCAUUACUGACGCUGAGGCACGAAAGCUAGGGGAGCAAACAGGAUUAGAUACCCUGGUAGUCCUAGCCCUAAACGAUGAUUGCUUGAUGU
rnacentral:rRNA from 1 species